CCAGCAGGCCCAGAAUCAUGUUUUAUGAUUUUGUUUUGCAUUACAUGUUUUGCAUUACAUUGCUUUAAAGAAAUAAAGCUCUCCUUUCUAAGUUUAUGUUUGUUAUUUUUUAAAAAAUAAUACGAAUAGACAAUUCACUUGAGAGUGUGAAUGGCAUACUUCACUGAGAAUGGAAUACUCUAAAAACAAUAAUAAACCACUGAUAAAACAUCAAACUGACAAAUAUAGUGUUUCAUGCUGCAGAACUCUGCAUGAGGAAAGUACACGGGAGUGAACAACUUUUAUGUAAGGGCGUUCACUGCAGUGCACUUAUAUUAGUGAAACUUUGGAAACAAUCUCACUUAUAAGGAGAUGGUCAAUAAUUUGAUAUAUCCAAGCACUGAAUUAUUAUGCCGGUCAUUAAAACAACGUUUAAAAAUAUGUGUAAUAGCUUGAGGAAAUGCUCACCAUGUUAUAAUGAGUAAAGACGGCUACACUAUUUUACACAGGGCCUGAUCUGGUUUGAAAACAAAUCUACAGAAAUAGACUGGAAAGAAAUGUAUCAAAUUCCAAACCGCGCUAGGAAGAAUGCGGAAGCACACGCAACCCCGGCGCCCUACCCACUAGACGUCCUCGCUGUCCCUCACCUGCACCGCUGGCGCACGCCCACAGGCUCGUGAGGGCGCGGCCGGUGGGUCAGGCUGGGCGACACUCCCCGCCCAUUGGCUGUCCCGUAGUCCGGCCCCGCCUUCCCCGCUUUCUGGAGCUGCUGGUAUCGCUCCUUCCAGGGCUCCUUGGAGACGGAGGGCGGGGCUAGGGCGCCGGAGUCACGUGGUGCGCGCCACCACCGGAUUACUAGCUGAUAAGAAUCCUCCGAAGGGUCCUGAGCGGUCGCAGGGUAGUGACGUCGGCCGUAUCCAGGAGACUGGAACCUGCUGUUGAGUGCCAAACUAGCGCGACCCCCUGCGUCUUGGUUUCGGACUGGUGGCCAGCGGGGUCUGGGCUGUGGUUUUACCCAGCUCCUUUGCAGAGCUGCUGUCCUUUCCUCAACAGCCCUACUCUGCUGGGCAGCCUACCCUCGCAGCAACAGGUGUGCACCUUCCAAACUUGCAGCAGACCACAUUCAGAAGUUUCUUGAUUUCCUGGUGUUCUGGGAAUAGCUGGAUCAGAGAUUUCUCCAAGCUACUCUCCCCUUCAUCUCCUCCGCCCCCAGGCCCCAACUCCUGCCCCUCCCACCCCAGCCCGUGUUCUGCCUGCCCACCCCCUACCCCACUGGAAUGGGCUUUCAUCAAACCCAAACCAAAGAAACCAACAGACCUUGCUGUCACCACUACUCCAGGACCUGGAAGUUGAAGCGAGGGAGAGCAGUGAAACACAGAAAGCAGAACGCCUUCUGUUCUUCACACCACAGGGUUUGUGGACGUGGCCACUAUAAGAAAGAACUCGCACUGCGUGCUGAUUACACUCCUCAGCAUAAUUAAUUUCUUGAAAUAAUUUAAAAUUUACAAAAAGUUGUAAAAAUAAAAACCAGUAAACUCUU